rnacentral:rRNA from 1 species
GACGAACGCUGGCGGCGUGCUUAACACAUGCAAGUCGAACGGAAAGGCCCUGCUUUUGUGGGGUGCUCGAGUGGCGAACGGGUGAGUAACACGUGAGUAACCUGCCCUUGACUUUGGGAUAACUUCAUGCAACUGGGGCUAAUACCGGAUAGGAGCUCCUGCUGCAUGGUGGGGGUUGGAAAGUUUCGGCGGUUGGGGAUGGACUCGCGGCUUAUCAGCUUGUUGGUGGGGUAGUGGCUUACCAAGGCUUUGACGGGUAGCCGGCCUGAGAGGGUGACCGGCCACAUUGGGACUGAGAUACGGCCCAGACUCCUACGGGAGGCAGCAGUGGGGAAUAUUGCACAAUGGGCGGAAGCCUGAUGCAGCAACGCCGCGUGCGGGAUGACGGCCUUCGGGUUGUAAACCGCUUUCGCCUGUGACGAAGCGUGAGUGACGGUAAUGGGUAAAGAAGCACCGGCUAACUACGUG